rnacentral:misc_RNA from 1 species
GCAGGAUCAACCAGGUAGCACUCCUCGUCUGACACCGGCACGCAUGAGCCCUCCCCUAUAACAGAGAGGGUCAACUCGUACGCGGACGUCAUCCGUGCUUAGCGUAAAACGCUUAUAUGGGUAUGCGACGAAUUAACGUCCAUUCCACCUCAACUUUCUGCAUCCCGGGGCACAACUAGAGACCGUACACCUGACCAUCAACGCCAUGUUUUCGCCGUCAACGUUGGGGCACGAGCCUAGCUACAAAAGUCCACCAAAAACCCAAAAGGAUAUUUGGCGAAAAAUACAAUUUAAGAGGACAACAAUACCGUCAUUAGGUAUAAAACACAGAAAACCAGAUAUCGCCCAAGGCUUACCGCACUUGGAGCAAAGACUGAAGAGGAUUAUCAGCGUGCGGUUCGAUGCACAAGCAUGGAGCCCGCCAGCCAAAAAAACC